AGCCGUGCGCGUGCUAUACAUGCAGUCGAGCGGACAGAUGGGAGCUUGCUCCCUGAUGUUAGCGGCGGACGGGUGAGUAACACGUGGGUAACCUGCCUGUAAGACUGGGAUAACUCCGGGAAACCGGGGCUAAUACCGGAUGGUUGUUUGAACCGCAUGGUUCAGACAUAAAAGGUGGCUUCGGCUACCACUUACAGAUGGACCCGCGGCGCAUUAGCUAGUUGGUGAGGUAACGGCUCACCAAGGCGACGAUGCGUAGCCGACCUGAGAGGGUGAUCGGCCACACUGGGACUGAGACACGGCCCAGACUCCUACGGGAGGCAGCAGUAGGGAAUCUUCCGCAAUGGACGAAAGUCUGACGGAGCAACGCCGCGUGAGUGAUGAAGGUUUUCGGAUCGUAAAGCUCUGUUGUUAGGGAAGAACAAGUGCCGUUCAAAUAGGGCGGCACCUUGACGGUACCUAACCAGAAAGCCACGGCUAACUACGUGCCAGCAGCCGCGGUAAUACGUAGGUGGCAAGCGUUGUCCGGAAUUAUUGGGCGUAAAGGGCUCGCAGGCGGUUUCUUAAGUCUGAUGUGAAAGCCCCCGGCUCAACCGGGGAGGGUCAUUGGAAACUGGGGAACUUGAGUGCAGAAGAGGAGAGUGGAAUUCCACGUGUAGCGGUGAAAUGCGUAGAGAUGUGGAGGAACACCAGUGGCGAAGGCGACUCUCUGGUCUGUAACUGACGCUGAGGAGCGAAAGCGUGGGGAGCGAACAGGAUUAGAUACCCUGGUAGUCCACGCCGUAAACGAUGAGUGCUAGUGGGGUUAGGGGGGGUUUCCGCCCCCUUAGUGCUGCAGCUAACGCAUUAAGCACUCCGCCUGGGGGAGUACGGUCGCAAGACUGAAACUCAAGGGAAAUUGACGGGGGCCGCACAAGGGGUGGAGAGCACAGUGUGGUUUAAUUUCGAAGCAACGCGAAGAACCUUUACCAGGUCUUGACAUCUCUGACAUCUAGAGAGAAAUAGGACGUCCCCUUCCGGGGCAAGAAGAGACACAGGGGGGGCCACCAAG
rnacentral:rRNA from 1 species